rnacentral:rRNA from 1 species
GACGAACGCUGGCGGCGUGCUUAACACAUGCAAGUCGAACGGAAGGGCCCUGCUUUUGUGGGGUGCUCGAGUGGCGAACGGGUGAGUAACACGUGAGUAACCUGCCCUUGACUUUGGGAUAACUUCAGGAAACUGGGGCUAAUACCGGAUAGGAGCUCCUGCUGCAUGGUGGGGGUUGGAAAGUUUCGGCGGUUGGGGAUGGACUCGCGGCUUAUCAGCUUGUUGGUGGGGUAGUGGCUUACCAAGGCUUUGACGGGUAGCCGGCCUGAGAGGGUGACCGGCCACAUUGGGACUGAGAUACGGCCCAGACUCCUACGGGAGGCAGCAGUGGGGAAUAUUGCACAAUGGGCGGAAGCCUGAUGCAGCAACGCCGCGUGCAGGAUGACGGCCUUCGGGUUGUAAACCGCUUUCGCCUGUGACGAAGCGUGAGUGACGGUAAUGGGUAAAGAAGCACCGGCUAACUACGUG